UUUUCUUGGGCACGUCGUUUAUACGGUUCACUCUGCAAAGGUGAAGUUUGGCUUUAGCCCGUGUCCUAU
rnacentral:tRNA from 1 species